AAGGAUCAUUAUUGAAU
rnacentral:rRNA from 1 species